rnacentral:ncRNA from 1 species
GACCCGAAAGAUGGUGAAAUAUACUUGAUUCAGGUUGAAGUCAGGGGAAACCCUGAAGGAAGACCAAAACAGUUCUGACGUGCAAAUCGAUUGUCAGAAUUGAGUAUAGGGGCGAAAGACCAAUCGAACCAUCUAGUAGCUGGUUCCUUCCGAAGUUUCCCUCAGGAUAGCUGGUGCAUUUUAAUAUUAUAUAAAAUAAUCUUAUCUGGUAAAGCGAAUGAUUAGAGGCCUUAGGGUCGAAACGAUCUUAACCUAUUCUCAAACUUUAAAUGGGUAAGAACCUUAACUUUCUUGAUAUGAAGUUCAAGGUUAUGAUAUAAUGUGCCCAGUGGGCCACUUUUGGUAAGCAGAACUGGCGCUGUGGGAUGAACCAAACGUAAUGUUACGGUGCCCAAAUUAACAACUCAUGCAGAUACCAUGAAAGGCGUUGGUUGCUUAAAACAGCAGGACGGUGAUCAUGGAAGUCGAAAUCCGCUAAGGAGUGUGUAACAACUCACCUGCCGAAGCAACUAGCCCUUAAAAUGGAUGGCGCUUAAGUUGUAUACCUAUACAUUACCGCUAAAGUAGAUGAUUUAUAUUACUUGUGAUAUAAAUUUUGAAACUUUAGUGAGUAGGAAGGUACAAUGGUAUGCGUAGAAGUGUUUGGCGUAAGCCUGCAUGGAGCUGCCAUUGGUACAGAUCUUGGUGGUAGUAGCAAAUAAUCGAAUGAGACCUUGGAGGACUGAAGUGGAGAAGGGUUUCGUGUGAACAGUGGUUGAUCACGAGUUAGUCGGUCCUAAGUUCAAGGCGAAAGCCGAAAAUUUUCAAGUAAAACAAAAAUGCCUAACUAUAUAAACAAAGCGAAUAUAAUACACUUGAAUAAUUUUGAACGAAAGGGAAUACGGUUCCAAUUCCGUAACCUGUUGAGUAUCCGUUUGUUAGAAUCCACCACA